rnacentral:tRNA from 1 species
GAUCUGAUUAGCUCAGUGGUAAGAGCAGUUGUCUAGAAAGCGAAAGACUCGGGUUCGCGAUUCCUGAUUCAGUCA